rnacentral:rRNA from 2 species
UGGGGAAUAUUGCACAAUGGAGGGAACUCUGAUGCAGCGACGCCGCGUGAACGAAGAAGGCUUUCGAGUCGUAAAGUUCUUUUAUAUGGGAAGAUAAUGACGGUACCAUAAGAAAAAGCCCCGGCUAACUACGUGCCAGCAGCCGCGGUAAUACGUAGGGGGCUAGCGUUGUCCGGAAUCACUGGGCGUAAAGGGUUCGCAGGCGGAAAUGCAAGUCAGGUGUAAAAGGCAGUAGCUUAACUACUGUAAGCAUUUGAAACUGCAUAUCUUGAGAAGAGUAGAGGUAAGUGGAAUUUUUAGUGUAACGGUGAAAUGCGUAGAUAUUAAAAAGAAUACCGGUGGCGAAGGCGACUUACUGGGCUCAUUCUGACGCUGAGGAACGAAAGCGUGGGUAGCAAACAGG